GAGUCUGCCUUGACUGCCUGAAUGAGACAUGGCUGGGGACUUUAAAACCACUGCAGUUACUGAGUCCACCACCCCUGCAAGUGAGACACAAGGCCAAAAGAACAUCGAGUUUAGGAUUCUGCUGUGUUUUGUUUUUAUUGCUUCAUAAUACUAAAGUUCCAUCUCAGAGAUGAAACAUUGUAUAAAGAGACCUAGGUUUGCUUUCACUGAUGAGACAACUGAAACACAG
rnacentral:lncRNA from 1 species